GUUCGAUCUUCGGUGCCGCCAUCUCUACACACAGCACCCUCCACAUGUACAUCUUCACCCUUGUCCAGCGGGCGAACAGCGGCAGCUAACCGGGCUUUCAGCAGCAGCCCACCCGCCUACUGCGGCAGUCAACCCAGUGAUCACGCAGUUAAACUGGCAUUCAAAAGCAGCCCACCUGGUGAUCGCAACAGCCCACGCUGUGACCACGGCAGCCCACCCGGUGACUCCCGAUUAGCCCGGCUAACUACCACAGCCUUCCAUAUAAUGUCAGGUUUCUUUGGAUAGAUGGGGAGCCACCCACCCAACACCGGAGUCCCCGCCUCCCACAUUGUGUGGUAGGAACAUGUACUGAAUGAACUGAACCUAACUGAACUGAACUUGAAUGAACUGAGAAGAAAAAAAUAAAACGGAAGCAAAUGCAUCCAUACUGGAAUCAAUGAACUGAACUCAGAGGCUAUUUUCUAUUUUUGUUUGUAUUUAUGUUGGUUUAUGUUGAGAAUUUAUACUGUCAUUUGAACUUGCCUCCUGUCUCUGUAUCCACACACAUUGGGCUCUUAACUACUUACAUGUUAUUGUGUGGUCCUAGUCCAUUUGAACAUUUGUCAUCUUUUCAUACAAUUUAGCUUAGCCUACUCCGCUACAAUGGCAUGUUGUUAAAAUGUCACCUUAAAUUCAUAGUACAGCAUAUCUCCAAACAUCUAAUUAAAAGAGUAAUAAUACAGUAUGUCUUCAAACAUUUCCCAUAAAAUGUCAUAGUAUAGUGUGCCAAAUAAAA